UUUCCGUAGGUGAACCUGCGGAAGGAUCAUUAUCGUACAAAAUGUGAGUGGCAUGCGAGGGCUGUCGCUGCCCCAAAAGUCGUGCACGCCCGAGUGUGUCCUCUUGCAUUAUAAUCCAUUUCACCCUUUGUGCAUCGCCGCGUGGGCACCCUUCGGGAUCAUCUCGGAGGGGGGCUCACGUUUUCACACAAACCCCCCUUUUAAAAGUGUAGAAUGACCACAUUUAUGCAAUCAAUACAACUUUCAACAACGGAUCUCUUGGCUCUC
rnacentral:misc_RNA from 1 species